rnacentral:rRNA from 1 species
GACGAACGCUGGCGGCGUGCCUAAUACAUGCAAGUCGAACGCAGUGGGGAUGGGUGAGUAACACGUGGGUAACCUCCCAUCAGAGGGGAUAACACUUGGAAACAGGUGCUAAACCGAUACUGAUGGAUGGACCCGCGUUGCAUUAGCUAGUUGGUGGGGUAACGGCCCACCAAGGCUACGAGGCAUAGCCGCCCUGAGCGGGUGAUCGGCCACACUGGGACUGAGACACGGCCCAGACUCCUACGGGAGGCAGCAGUAGGGAAUCUUCGACAAUGGACGAAAGUCUGACCCAGCAACGCCGCGUGAGUGAAGAAGGUUUUCGGAUCGUAAAGCUCUGUUGUUGGAGAAGCGGUAUCUAACCAGAAAGCCACGGCUAACUACGUGCCAGCAGCCGCGGUAAUAC